GAUGAAGAACGUAGCGAAAUGCGAUACGUAAUGUGAAUUGCAGAAUUCAGUGAAUCAUCGAGUCUUUGAACGCACAUUGCGCCCCCUGGUAUUCCGGGGGGCAUGCCUGUCCGAGCGUCAUUGCUGCCCUCAAGCACGGCUUGUGUGUUGGGCCUCCGUCCUCCUCCGGGGGGACGGGCCCGAAAGGCAGCGGCGGCACCGCGUCCGGUCCUCGAGCGUAUGGGGCUUCGUCACCCGCUCUUGUAGGCCCGGCCGGCGCUUGCCGACACAUCAAUCUUUUUUCCAGGUUGACCUCGGAUCAGGUAGGGAUACCCGCUGAACUUAAGCAUAUCAAUAAGCGGAGGA
rnacentral:misc_RNA from 1 species